rnacentral:pre_miRNA from 1 species
GUAGUAUUCCCUCCGUCCCAAAAUUCUUGUCUUACAUUUGUUUAGAUACAGAUGUAUCUAACACUAAAAUGUAACUAGAUACAUCCGUAUUUAGACAAAUUUAAGACAAUAAUUUUGGGACGGAGGGAGUACAAA